GGAUGACUUCACAAGAGGAUCAAGCUGAAGGAGUUAAGAUGAACCAUGAGUGAGAACAGGCAUCAACCAAUCUCCUUAACAGUUCGCAAAGAAAGUUUGUGGGAUACUGAAAUGAGAACUGAAUUUGGAGUCCAGAGCCCUGGAUCAGUAGUGCUUUGACACCAUGAUUUUAGAAGCUUCUACUGUAAUCCAACUGCAAUCCCGGGAGACAAGAACAAUAAAGAGAGCUGCUGCUUCAGAGAGAGAAAAACUUCAGAGAGAACCCUUCAACUAAACAAUUCUAUAGUCACCAAAAAAGCAGGGCAGGUUGCUUUUCAUUUUUACAUUUUACUCAUUUUUUGAUUGAGGGAUAGGAACUCUAUAUUUGAAAGGAACAUGAGCAAAUCACUCUCCUAAUACUUCCAGGGGAGUCCAAACCAAGAUUUACUGGAAGAAAAUUUUGAUGUGAAUCCCAGCCAAAUUCCCAAAGUUCAGCUAACUUUGGAAGAAGCAAGCCGCUCAAGCGUUUGAAGCUGCUUCUUGUCCCUUUACCAUAUGGCCUAUUGCUGGCUAUUUCACCCUAGAGUUUAUAUAAUUAUGUUCUGGUGCCAAGGAAAUGCCUCUGAUUGUGUCUCUGAUUCAUAGACGGUAGAAAAAUAGGCUUCAGACUUAGAAAAGUUUAAGGAAAUAGCCUUAGGUAGGUGGGUUAUUAUGCCCAUUAUAUUCAUGAAGCAAGGGAGACCCUCAUCCCACUACUAGAACUGUCUCCCCAAGUGCGCAAAGUCAGUGGUGGAAAAGAGACUGACUCCUUAUUGUUCUGCCUCCUGCUCUAACCCUACAGUUAUUGCUUCCAUCAAAAGAUCUGAAGCAAAGGGCCCCCGCAAUCUGGAAAAUCCAUGUAAAAUUUUUUGGCCCUCUCUUCAUACCAGAGAAGA